AGUAGAGAUAUUCGUUGAUCCAGUUGCGCUGGCUUCUGAUGAGGCUCGCAUCGAACAUGCGCUG
rnacentral:sRNA from 1 species